UACAAACUCUGCCGUCAUCAUAUCCAAGGCAGUGAGUUGUGAGGACUGCUUCCCUGAGAACACUGAGUGCAUUCUGGAAUAUUCCAAAUGUGUGCCACUUCCAUACAAAAGAAGUUUCAAUCCCGCAAGAGAGUUCACUCACCAGUGGGCUCCAUCAACAGACCAGGGCAAAGUCGGUCUGUCCUGCUACUACUACAUGCUACUUGACUAUGUCUGGAAGCCAUGGCUGCUGCCCUCAACAUGCUGUGCCAUCCAGCAAGUCCCAGCCUGGAGCCAGAGGCUGGCACUGCACGUCAGAUGGGGGAGGAUCUAUGUUAGGCAUCAGAAAGGUGGUUUAAGCAAGAAGGAAAGAGCUUCUGCAGACAGUGUUGCAAUUAGACACCUGACUUUUACUGCCAAAGGGACCAUCAGAGCACCUCUCCCUACCAUCUAUACCAGAAGAGUACGGACAAGGGCCCAAAAUGUUUUAAAGGACGUUGCACGCCCAGACCAUCGACUGUUUAAACCACUGU